rnacentral:lncRNA from 1 species
CCGGGAGGUUCACUUGAGCCCCGGAGUUUGAAGCUACAGUGAGCUAUGAUUGAGCCAUUGCACUCCAGUCUGGGUGACAAAGCAAGACCCUGUCUUAAGAAAAAAAAAAAAAAAUCCCAAACAAAAAACUCCCACCUGUGUCAUCAGCUUUUUGUCAGAUGUCCCCAAAUUUACAAAAACUGCCCUUUUCCCUCUCCAUCUUCUGUCAGUUGGUUGCAUCAUUCACCAACUUGGGCACCCGACUGAUGGUCUUUGCGUCUUUUAAAUUUCAGUUGACAGUCAGCCUUUGUUUUUUUUGACCCAGUGCUUAGGAUGGUGGUUACGUGUUCAGCCCACUCUGUCACCUACCUUGUGACUUGGGCCAGUCAAUUAAUCUCUGUAAAAAGUCUGCUGCCUUGCUGUAAAGGGAACAAUAGAUCUUUCCAUUCAGCUGUUUUUGGAAAUGGGCUUAGCUUCACAGUGCAGUACUGCACAAAAUUUCAUGGACAUCGGUAGCAUUGUUCUCAUUAAUAUUUAAACGUGUUUUGCUUUUAAUCUGUUUCUUGUCCCUUUCCUCUGUUUUCUGGAAUAUUGCCUCACUUUUAGCACUAAAAUGACGUUUUCUGCAUAUGUCACACCGUAAAGCCCCUGUGGGGAAUUGAAUCUUAUCUCAGGUUUGAACAUUGCCUGGAGGCUGUGCUUAGAUAUGGGUUGAAAUUGUGCCACUAGCAAAUAAAAAAUACUCUUUCUUGUUAGUACCAUAUAUGUAUUAUGUCACACUGAAUAUGAAU